AGCCGCUGCCUGUCUUGAUGGCGUCCGACUCCGAUACCGAGGAGCUGUUCUACGACGCGGCCGAGGAUGUCGCCCAGCACGGAGGGACCCCCUCGCCGUCACCUACCAAAGUUGGGCCGCCAAUACCGAAGGAACUGGGCGGUGGUCUGCAGACAGCAGAGAGUGAGGCAGCACAGCUGGAAGUAAAACAGGAUGACCC